AGAGUUUGAUCCUGGCUCAGAGUGAACGCUGGCGGCGUAGAUUAGGCAUGCAAGUCGAGCGAUUUUUUAGGCGGAACGGUUGAAGCCGCAAGGUGGAUGCCGAUUUGCCUGAUGAAGAGCGGCAGACGGGUGCGUAACACGUGAGUAAUUUACCUCUAAAACAGGGAUAGCUUCGCGAAAGCGGAGGUAAUACCCGAUGUGUCCAGCCUGUCACAAGGCAGGCGGGGUAAAGGUGGCCGCAAGGCCGCUGUUUAGAGAUGAGCUCGCGUCCUAUCAGCUAGUUGGUAGGGUAAUGGCCUACCAAGGCUAUUGACGGGUAGCUGGCCUGAGAGGGUGGUCAGCCACACGGGGACUGAGACACUGCCCCGACUCCUACGGGAGGCUGCAGUCGAGAAUAUUUAGCAAUGGGCGAAAGCCUGACUAUGUGACGCCGCGUGAGGGAUGAAGGUCUUCGGAUCGUAAACCUCUUUCGAUGGGAAAGAAACUCCGCCAUUUAACGUGGCGGACUGACGGUACCCAGAGAAGAAGCCACGGCUAACUCCGUGCCAGCGGCCGCGGUAAUACGGAGGUGGCGAGCGUUACUCGGAUUCAUUGGGUGUAAAGGGCAGGUAGGCGGCUAUAUAAGUCAGAGGUGAAAUCCUGCGGCUCAACCGCAGAACUGCCUCUGAAACUACAUGGCUUGAGGCUGAAAGAGGAGAGCGGAAUUCCCGGUGUAAGGGUGAAAUCUGUAGAUAUCGGGAGGAACACCAGUGGCGAAGGCGGCUCUCUGGUUCAGUCCUGACGCUAAGCUGCGAAAGCUAGAGGAGCAAACAGGAUUAGAUACCCUGGUAGUCC
rnacentral:rRNA from 1 species